AACGAACGCUGGCGGCAGGCUUAACACAUGCAAGUCGAACGCAUCCUUCGGGGUGAGUGGCAGACGGGUGAGUAACGCGUGGGAACGUGCCCUUCAGUUGGGGAUAACCCAGGGAAACUUGGGCUAAUACCGGAUACGUGCGAGAGCAGAAAGAUUUAUCGCUGAAGGAGCGGCCCGCGUCUGAUUAGCUAGUUGUGGGGGUAAUGGCCCACCAAGGCGACGAUCAGUAGCUGGUCUGAGAGGAUGAUCAGCCACGUUGGGACUGGGACACGGCGCAAACUCCUACGGGAGGCAGCAGUGGGGAAUAUUGGACAAUGGGCGCAAGCUUGAUCCAGCCAUGCCGCGUGAGUGAUGAAGGCCUUAGGGUUGUAAAGCUCUUUCGUCCGGGACGAUAAUGACGGUACCGGAAGAAGAAGCCCCGGCUAACUUCGUGCCAGCCGCCGCAGUAA
rnacentral:rRNA from 1 species